rnacentral:rRNA from 1 species
UACGUAGGGGGCAAGCGUUGUCCGGAUUUAUUGGGCGUAAAGAGCGUGUAGGCGGCCAGACAGGUCCGUUGUGAAAACUCGAGGCUCAACCUCGAGACGCCGAUGGAAACCGUCUGGCUAGAGUCCGGAAGAGGAGAGUGGAAUUCCUGGUGUAGCGGUGAAAUGCGCAGAUAUCAGGAAGAACGCCCGUGGCUAAGGCGGCUCUCUAGUACGGUACUGACGCUGAGACGCGAAAGCGUGGGGAGCGAACAGG